rnacentral:rRNA from 1 species
UACGUAGGCGCAAGCGUUGUCCGGAAUUAUUGGGCGUAAAGCGCACGUAGGCCGAUUGUUAAGUCAGGGGUGAAAUCCUGGAGCUCAACUCCAGAACUGCCCUUGAUACUGACGGUCUCGAGUCCGGGAGAGGUGAGUGGAACUGCGAGUGUAGAGGUGAAAUUCGUAGAUAUUCGCAAGAACACCAGUGGCGAAGGCGGCUCACUGGCCCGGUACUGACGCUGAGGUGCGAAAGCGUGGGGAGCAAACAGG